rnacentral:rRNA from 1 species
UACAGAGGUCCCAAGCGUUGUUCGGAUUCACUGGGCGUAAAGGGUGCGUAGGUGGCCAGGUAAGUUCGGUGUGAAAGCUCGGAGCUCAACUCCGAAAUGUCAUUGAAUACUAUCUGGCUGGAGGGUCGGAGGGAGACUGGAAUUCUCGGUGUAGCAGUGAAAUGCGUAGAUAUCGAGAGGAACACCAGUGGCGAAGGCGAGUCUCUGGACGACUCCUGACACUGAGGCACGAAAGCUAGGGGAGCAAACAGG